AAGCUCAGCCGAAAAUUCUAGAACAGCUGAUAAAACAACUAUCUUGCUUUCCAACAAUGUACUCCUUUCAAAAUUUGAAAGUUUCCCUUUGCAGAAAUUUCACUUCAAACCACAGCCUCCAUACAAAAUUUACGAUGUGACUGGGCGCAAGGUAAACAAGGUUCACGGACGGUAAAUUUCAAAUUUUGAAAGGAGUACAUUGUUGGAAAGCAAGAUAGUUGUUUUAUCAGCUGUUGUAGAAUUUUCGGCUGAGCUU